GGGUUUUUCUUUUUUGGUUACUGCUAUAUCCCAAGCACCUGGAAUAGUGCCUAGCACAUAAAUGAUGUUCAAUAAGUGAAUGAAUUAACUAAGUGCCAAGAGGCAAGGAUGGCAGAGCUCUCCCAGGCCGGGCUGGGGCAGUAACUGGGAAGCCCCUAUUCCCUGAGGCACUGAUCUCCUUUCAGCCUCUCCAGUACACUGCCCUCUCCCAUCUUCCUGCAGGCUGUUUCCUCCAGCCCUGUCCCAUCCUCCCAUUCUUCAGGUCUCAGCUUCAGUGUCAUUUCCUCAGAGAAGUCUCCCAGACAGCCUUGGACUAAGUUAAGGUCUCCUACUCCAUGCUCCCCAAAGCAGCUUUACUGCCACUUGUAAGGAGUCCAGACACUUAGAGGUGUUAGUUGCUCACAAACUGAGCACCAGGCUUAUCUGCUCUUGAUUGCCUCAUCUGGACGGCUGUGGAUUAAAUGAGGUGAUUCAUAUAAAUAAAUUGUUGAAUAGGAAUUGGCCAAUAAUGGUCAGGCAAUAUUGCCACAAUUACAGUGGAUACUCAGACAUUUGUUGUUUGUGACAGAAGGGCAGCACACCAGAAAUCAUGGUUAAGCCAAAAAAUCACAGCCUGAAUCAACCCUGGGAAAUGCUGGGGAACCACUGCCCACAUUUUAAACAAUACUGUUCCCGGUGACUUUGGCUCCUUCAAGUCCUAGUGGGCCUGGCCAACACACCCCUGGCUAACGUCCCACAGCCUGGGUGGAUUCUGCGGGGUGGGGUGGGGGUUGGACCUCCCAUGUGUUUGGAGGACCAGCAGCAUCCAUGGGAGCUUGCUAGAAAUGCAGCAUCUUGCUCCCUUCCCUAAGACCUGUUAAAUCAGAAUCCACAUUUUCACACAUUCAAGAUUGGAAAGCAUUUCCCCAGAUCACAGUGUCUCAGAACUAAGGGCUAAAAAGGAUAUAUAUAUGUAUGUAUUUUUUAAGUUUCAGGUUCUGGUUUCUAUACUAAUACAUCUUCAGUCAGUCAUGCUCACUGGCCAGAAUCCAUUCUCUGAACACCCUUGACCACCAAACUCACAUAUAUUCUUUCCUAUCUCUAAGCAGUCUUGCCUGUUCCUUCCCCAUUUCCAAAAUCUGGGGCUGCCAUGAGUGCCCUCAGUGCCUGUUCUCUUGGCAAUCAGACAGGGCUGGGCACCAGGUGAUGUCGGGGAAAUGGUUGGGUCACAGCAAGCAGGUGGCCUUCUCAGGAACCUGCGUGAGAAGGGCCUGAGGGAGAGGCCUUCUCAGGAACAGGGUGGGAAGCACCCAGACACAACCUGAGCUGAGGCACAGAGGAGACUUGAGAGUGCCUGUUUGCUCUGCCAGAAGGGUUGGGCCCAGACCACUGCAAUUGCUUCCCUGCCAUCUCCCAAACUCAGCUGAGAGCCCCCUCCCUGUCACCCAGCCCCCGUGGGAAUGGCUCAGGCCAGGAGCUACCAUCAAACUAGCUCCUUUCUCCCAGGGCCUGGUGACUCCUUGACAGGUUACAGCCCCAAAGACAAACAGAUUCUGCCAAGCAAAUAACUGUUCAGCAGUGGGGGUGUUGGGGAAGGCCUAGGAGUGGGUCUGAAGCUGCCAGAAGAAGACCCAGGUGAAGUGGGGGGUGGGCUCCCCUGCAGAGAACAAACAGCUGUGGGCACCUGGAAAGAAGCACGAUGCAGGUACACUGUCACGGGUGAGGGCACUCACCCCAGGGGUCUGUGGGCCAGUCUCCCAGGCUCUUUCACUCUGGGCUCUGUAUCAGGCUGCUCCCUGAGAAAGAAGAGUCUUGCAUGCAGGCCCUUGGGGGCAGGGAACCAAACAAUGCUUGCUGGCUGAUCAGCUAACUUGGCUGAUUUUCUUUGUGCUGGAGAUACAGGUCAUUUGGAGGCAGUUUCCUUACCUUCCUGGUCACUGGGCACCAGAAAGGGCAGGAGACCCCAUUAUAAACCCAGGACUAAUUUCCCAAACAUAUAAUGAACCUCAGGGUCUCAGUUUUCCCAUCUGCAAAAGGGAAAGGCCCAGAGACCAAACAGUACACAUCACAGAGCCAUUAUGGGGCCACACAAGUUUACAGGAGGCUUGAGGGUGCAAUAAAACUCACCAACACACAUGAAAACAGCUUUUUUUGGUGUGUGUGUUAAUUUAAUCAUACAAAUAUUCAUUUAUACAAUAAGGAAAAACCUCCUCAUCUUUAUCUCCUCCUAGGCACCAUGAGGCCCCACCACAAACAUCCAGCUGGCUUUCUACACACACCACUGUCCAGGUGGGAAGGGCAGCCACUGCUGCUCCUGCAUUCACCCAAGGAAACAAAGGAAAGGUGCGGCGAGGCAGGGUGGGGUUCUCUCCAGGCUGGAAGUAACUUUGAUGGGCUUAAGGUUACAGCCAGUCCU
rnacentral:lncRNA from 1 species